CAGUCCCACGGUAAAACGAAGGGUGCAAGCGUUACUCGGAAUUACUGGGCGUAAAGCGUGCGUAGGUGGUGGUUUAAGUCCGUUGUGAAAGCCCUGGGCUCAACCUGGGAAUUGCAGUGGAUACUGGGUCACUAGAGUGUGGUAGAGGAUAGUGGAAUUUCCGGUGUAGCAGUGAAAUGCGUAGAGAUCGGAAGGAACAUCUGUGGCGAAGGCGACUAUCUGGGCCAACACUGACACUGAGGCACGAAAGCGUGGGGAGCAAACAGGAUUAGAUACCCCAGUAGUCCCUGUCUCUUAUACA
rnacentral:rRNA from 1 species